ensembl:antisense Gm13856 uncharacterized LOC110296831
ACAACUAACAUGCUAAGAACACAGAGUCGAGGCUCAUUGGUGGCAUUUAGCAUAUGGAGACCAAAGCCAGUCCUUCCAGACACGGACCGGCCCUGAAGAAUCAGAAGACUCCCUCCACAGUAGUCCGGAGGAGAAUGGCAGACUUUUCUCUCUUGGGCCAGUGACAACCAUGCCUAAAGAGUCAACACUCGCCUCUUCAUUUUUUGAAUACUAAGGUUCAGAGACAUAUUGGUCCCAGGUGCCACUCUCCUCCUUGGCAUAAUUAGUUUAGCCUAAACUUCUUGCCAAGAAACAUGUCCCACAGGAGAAGACUCAGCAAACAUAAGCGCAGAGGUCAUUAGCUUUUCGUAAAUACUGUACUUACCUAGUAACCACCAUGCAAAGGCCUGGAACCCAUCCUUGUCACUCAAGCCGGACUGCACAGUCUAGGAAAUAAGAAAACACACCGUGCACAGGGACCAGAACUGCAACGACGAGUGUUUCUGCUCUCCACCUCCUCCCGUUCUCUGAGCUGCGUCCUUGUGUUACAUACGCUCUCUAAUCCCUUUCAUUACUCAUAGGUGCCUAAUAAUCGGCCCAAUGACAAGCAGUGAACAGAAAUGAUUUAAAGCUGAUUCUUACCACCUGCUUUGCUGACAUGAAAGUGCAAAUAAAUAUCCCUGCAGACACCAGGGCAAUGGAGGUGUACUUGAACAUACUGUAUCUGAAAAAAUAAGGACAAGACACCUUAGGAAAGGAAACAACGUCUAAUGGGAUCUACCACCGGGAAGUAUGCGAUUCAAGUACAAAGCUCUUUAGUACCACUGGGGGAUACUCUCCAGUAGUUGUCUUUAACAGUUUGUUGACCAGCAGACUGUUUUAUCAGAAAAUGAAAAAGAAAACAAAACCAGAAAACAGACACACACCCGAUGUCACAUGACACUGCAUUCUGCUCUGCAAAAACCAAUAAUUCAACCCACCCAGGCUUCACCAGUGUCUGUGCCUUUCCAGGCCUAAAAGCCCAGAAUUGAGUCUUUAUACACACACUAUUCAAGAGGAACAAGAGAUUAUCAGAUACAAGAGUCAAAACUUGGGGAAUAAUGUCCAUUCUCCAGGAAAGUUGGCAGAGCACUGAAGAUCCAGUGAUAAUAAGAGCUGUUUGGCUCUACAAGAAGCCACAGCGAGAGUCUCAGACCUGGUCAGUUGCCUUUGGAAAGUCAUGAUUAGCCAUGAUUCUUAGAGAAAGAAAACAGGAAAAGGCUGAUGGCCAAGAAGAGUCCUAUCACCAGCGUGGGAAGAGGGAAGGUCUCUGUCUGCCUACGUUGCAGAUGAAAGCCAUUCACCCUUCACACACUGUGGGCAGGCAGCACUUACUGAUCUGAAUAUCAUAUGCAGCGGCAUGGCAAUGUUCAGAUUCAGGGCAUAGUUGUUCACCACGCUGACAGUGAAGAACAUGGUUACCAUGAUGGCAUAGUACCUGCAAUGACAGAGAACAUCGCGCAAAUCCACUUUUACAAGAAACUCUGAUAUAGAAGGAAAUACAUGUAUUCGCUUUACAAGACACUUGGAGUGCAUUAUCACAUAAAGCCAAAUAUGAGGUGUGUGAUGCCUUCCUACGAUCCGACAUUCAACACUCCUUUAAGCUAACUCGGAGAGCAUCUUAGGGACACACUGCUGGCACAGCUCAAGGAAAAGGGUUCUGUUAGCUGGAAUAAAUCGCUUUAAAGCGAAUAAAUAAAGUUCUAAUAAAUAAAAACG